rnacentral:rRNA from 1 species
ACGGCGAGUGAAGCGGCAACAGCUCAAAUUUGAAAUCUGGCGCAAGCCCGAGUUGUAAUUUGUAGAGGAUGCUUCUAGGUAGCGACCGGUCUAAGUUCCUUGGAACAGGACGUCAUAGAGGGUGAGAAUCCCGUAUGUGACCGGCCCGCACCUUCUACGUAGCUCCUUCGAAGAGUCGAGUUGUUUGGGAAUGCAGCUCUAAAUGGGAGGUAAAUUUCUUCUAAAGCUAAAUACCGGCCAGAGACCGAUAGCGCACAAGUAGAGUGAUCGAAAGAUGAAAAGCACUUUGGAAAGAGAGUUAAAAAGCACGUGAAAUUGUUGAAAGGGAAGCGCUUACAACCAGACUUCUGGGCGGUGUUCCGCCGGUCUUUUGACCGGUCUACUCUCCGUCCCGAGGCCAACAUCAUCUGGGACCGCUGGAUAAGACCUUAGGAAUGUAGCUUCCCUCGGGAAGUGUUAUAGCCUCUGGUGAUGCAGCGCGUCUCGGGUGAGGUCCGCGCUUCGGCAAGGAUGUUGGCGUAAUGGUUGUCAGCGGCCCGUCUUGAAACACGGACCAAGGAGUCUAACAUCUAUGCGAGUGUUCGGGUGUCAAACCCCUACGCGUAAUGAAAGUGAACGGAGGUGGGAAGCGCAAGCUGCACCAUCGACCGAUCCUGAUGUCCUCGGAUGGAUUUGAGUAAGAGCAUAGCUGUUGGGACCCGAAAGAUGGUGAACUAUGCCUGAAUAGGGUGAAGCCAGAGGAAACUCUGGUGGAGGCUCGCAGCGGUUCUGACGUGCAAAUCGAUCGUC